rnacentral:rRNA from 1 species
UGGGGAAUAUUGCACAAUGGGCGAAAGCCUGAUGCAGCAACGCCGCGUGAGUGAUGAAGGUCUUCGGAUUGUAAAGCUCUGUCUUUUGGGACGAUAAUGACGGUACCAAAGGAGGAAGCCACGGCUAACUACGUGCCAGCAGCCGCGGUAAUACGUAGGUGGCGAGCGUUGUCCGGAUUUACUGGGCGUAAAGGGUGCGUAGGCGGAUGUUUAAGUGAGAUGUGAAAUACCCGGGCUUAACUUGGGUGCUGCAUUUCAAACUGGAUAUCUAGAGUGCAGGAGAGGAGAAUGGAAUUCCUAGUGUAGCGGUGAAAUGCGUAGAGAUUAGGAAGAACACCAGUGGCGAAGGCGAUUCUCUGGACUGUAACUGACGCUGAGGCACGAAAGCGUGGGUAGCAAACAGGAUUAGAUACCCUGGUAGUCCACGCCGUAAACGAUGAGUACUAGGUGUAGGAGGUAUCGACCCCUUCUGUGCCGCAGUAAACACAUUAAGUACUCCACCUGGGAAGUACGAUCGCAAGAUUAAAAC